rnacentral:rRNA from 1 species
CCUACGGGAGGCAGCAGUGAGGAAUAUUGGUCAAUGGACGAGAGUCUGAACCAGCCAAGUAGCGUGAAGGAUGACUGCCCUAUGGGUUGUAAACUUCUUUUAUAUGGGAAUAAAAUGUUCCACGUGUGGGAUUUUGUAUGUACCCUAUGAAUAAAGAACGGCUAACUCCGUGCCAUCAGCCGCGGUAAUACGGAGGAUCCGAGCGUUAUCCGGAUUUAUUGGGUUUAAAGGGAGCGUAGGUGGAUUGUUAAGUCAGUUGGGAAAGGUUGCGGCUCAACCGUAAAAUUGCAGUUGAAACUGGCAGUCUUGAGUACAGUAGAGGUGGGCGGAAUUCGUGGUGUAGCGGUGAAAUGCUUAGAUAUCACGAAGAACUCCGAUUGCGAAGGCAGCUCACUGGACUGCAACUGACACUGAGGCUCGAAAGUGUGGGUAUCAAACAGGAUUAGAUACCCCAGUAGUC